GACGAACGCUGGCGGCGUGCCUAAUACAUGCAAGUAGAACGCUGAAGGAGGAGCUUGCUCUUCUGGAUGAGUUGCGAACGGGUGAGUAACGCGUAGGUAACCUGCCUGGUAGCGGGGGAUAACUAUUGGAAACGAUAGCUAAUACCGCAUAACAUUGACUAUUGCAUGAUAGUCAAUUAAAAGGUGCAAAUGCACCACUACCAGAUGGACCUGCGUUGUAUUAGCUAGUUGGUGGGGUAACGGCUCACCAAGGCGACGAUACAUAGCCGACCUGAGAGGGUGAUCGGCCACACUGGGACUGAGACACGGCCCAGACUCCUACGGGAGGCAGCAGUAGGGAAUCUUCGGCAAUGGACGGAAGUCUGACCGAGCAACGCCGCGGGAGUGAAGAAGGUUUUCGGAUCGUAAAGCUCUGUUGUAAGAGAAGAACGAGUGUGAGAGUGGAAAGUUCACACUGUGACGGUAGCUUACCAGAAAGGGACGGCUAACUACGUG
rnacentral:rRNA from 1 species